CUUAAUUAUAGACUCCCUUAUUAUUAACAUAUUCGCUUUCGCUAUUAGAAGCCCAAGCCCAUAAUUAUGAGUUACCCACCCACUUAGUGAAAGGCCCAAAUCUGUAAUGAAUGAGCAUGUCUAUUACAGAAACAUGAUCGAGCCCACCGUUGACCCACGAUAUUUCCGUUACAACGAAAAUUCAUUCCUAACCAUCCGAUUCCGCCGCUUCUCUCGCCGACCGUUGGAUAACGAGGUUUCUUUCCCAAAAAACAAAAAGAAAAGAAAAAAAGAUUAGAAAGGGUUUUGUUUCUCAUGCAAUGCCCUAAUUUCAGAAACCUGUAUAAAUAACCCAACGGUCUUCUUCCAUCCUAUGCUUUGUUGGCGGCUGAAAUUAGGGUUGUGAACUGCUCCAAAAUUCUAACUUCAAAGGUUUCUUACAAAUGCGGUGAGGAGCUAUUGCAUUCAAGGAGCCGAGCACCUCAUUCUCAUUGUGAAGAAAUCAAAUCAAAGAGAGCACCGGUUUUGUUCACAACUUUGGGAUUUUUGGGGUCAUUCAUAGGAAAUUGGUUGCGUAUAAUUUUUCAUUUUAUUGUAAUUAUGCUCGUACUCAGCUGAGUUGUUUUGACUCUAUUAGUGAUGGAUAUGAAAUGGAAGUGUUCUUUCUGAGCAGUUUAAAGAUCGGCUCACAGAUGGGUGUGUCAACGUUAGCAACUUAGCAGCUUCAAAAGUUUUCUGUGGAGUUAGAAACAUGGCAAUACCACUCUGAAUUUUGUUUACCACUUGUUGCUCUCUUUUUUCUUAGCUUUCAAGCAAUACAAUACUGGAUGGAAAAUUUGUUUCAA